rnacentral:rRNA from 1 species
GACGAACGCUGGCGGCGUGCUUAACACAUGCAAGUCGAACGGAAAGGCCCUGCUUUUGUGGGGUGCUCGAGUGGCGAACGGGUGAGUAACACGUGAGUAACCUGCCCUUGACUUUGGGAUAACUUCAGGAAACUGGGGCUAAUACCGGAUAGGAGCUCCUGCUGCAUGGUGGGGGUUGGAAAGUUUCGGCGGUUGGGGAUGGACUCGCGGCUUAUCAGCUUGUUGGUGGGGUAGUGGCUUACCAAGGCUUUGACGGGUAGCCGGCCUGGGAGGGUGACCGGCCACAUGGGGACUGAGAGACGGCCCAGACUCCUAUGGGAGGCAGCAGUGGGGAAUAUUGCACAAUGGGCGGAAGCCUGAUGCAGCAACGCCGCGUGCGGGAUGACGGCCUUCGGGUUGUAAACCGCUUUCGCCUGUGACGAAGCGUGAGUGACGGUAAUGGGUAAAGAAGCACCGGCUAACUACGUG